CUUGGAUUCAUUUUAUCCAUGUACUUCUAAUUUCAGUAAAAAGUCAAAGAAAGAGAUGUGAGAAAUGUGUCUUCAUCCACAAAAGCUGAAAAGAAGGUCUGCCUUCCUGUUGCUUCACAGAUGUGGCUGACCUCACUGCUAUACAUAAUCAUCUAGGAUCCAAAAGUAGGCCAAAAGAAGUUAAGAGUAAAAUAAUAGGACAUAUAUUUAUCCAUAUCACUGUCGUCGUCCCCCUAUCCCCCCAGAACACAAACAAACAAACAAAAAAAACCACCACCAGCAACAACAAAAAAAAGCCACCUCUCUGGUAGACUUCUUUCUAUUACAGUAUUUUCUUUUUUCCAUAUGGACACUUGCCUUUAGUCUUUAAUUUGUUUACUUUUCAAUGUUAACACGCCAGGCCAGAAAUAUGUAAGGAUUGAUUAGUAGAGAUAGCUCUUUAGUGUUGUCAAAAUACAUUUUUGUUAGUUUGGCCAGGUCCUUAACCAUCUGUAACUGCAAGAUCAAUUUGAUGGCUGUCUCUGGUUUGUGAAGGGGGCAACAGCUCUCAUACCACGUCUGUGACCAUCCUCCAGCACACCAGCAUCCACCUAAGAAGAGCAGACACUGCUACUUGUCUUCCUGCCUUUUUAAUGCCUCCUUUCUGGGAUUGGAGGUCACAGAUGCCAAGCCAGGGAAGGCCUUCUCGGAGAUGUUACAUCUGCAUCUUUGGCAACGUCCUUGCGCUGCUGCCCUGGCAGCACAGCAGACACGACUGGCUCUCAUGCCUGCUGUCUGAGCUCCAACCUGACAGCCUCACUCAGCCUUCCACCUGAGGCUUCCCACCUAUCUGCCCAGAGCUAAAUCUUCAGGAUUCCAGACCAAGAUCUCUACUGUAACCAUUCACCCUCAAACAAGCUUUUUGUGAAAAUCAAAAAUUAUGCAUUUCCGUUAUAUUAUUGGACUCAUUUCAGGGAAAGAAUAGGCUCUUGUAUGAUCUUUUCUGUGGUUUAGGAAGACUGACAGCAGCCUACUUACUGUUUUUAUGAACAACAACUCAGGAUUUUUGUGAUGCUAAACAACUUUCAUACUGACAAAAGGUAACAUGGAAAAAUUUCAGAGCAGUAGUACAUAACACUUUCAGUGAAAAUGCAGGUACAAUAUGACAAACGGAAACCGCUGAAGACAGAGACAUCUGCUUAGAGAUGGUAUCUUUGUAAAACAAACCAAAGCUUUCCGUAACAAUUUGUAUUGUUGGUAACACAUUGCAAAGGCCAUGUACAUCUCUAUCUUAUCAGAAGAACAAUAAAUGACUUUGUGUUUUUUUUUUUUUUAAUCCA
rnacentral:lncRNA from 1 species